rnacentral:misc_RNA from 1 species
AAGUCGUAACAAGGUUUCCGUAGGUGAACCUGCGGAAGGAUCAUUACAGCAUUACGAUCGAGGGAGGUUAGAUGCCGCGCUCGCGAGGGCGCGCGCGCGCCUCUUCUCGUGUCCAUCACACACACACCUGUGAACCCACGGGGGAGGCAGAGCGUCGGUCAGGCGUUUUGCCCCCUUUCGUAUCGUCAUUACACCUCAGCCUGUUACGAACGCAUGUCGCGAGCCCCACGGGGCGAAAAAAGUUAAUACAA